UACGGAGGGAGCAAGCGUUACUCGGAAUUACUGGGCGUAAAGGGCGCGUAGGCGAUUUUAUAAGUCUUGUGUGAAAGCCCCGUGCUUAACGCGGGAAGUGCAUAAGAUACUGUAGGAAUUGAGUUCCGGAGAGGAAGAUGGAAUUCCAGGUGGAGCGGUGAAAUGCGUAGAGAUCUGGAAGAACACCAAAGGCGAAGGCAGCGUCCUGGGAAGCAUCUGACGCUCAGGUGCGAAAGCGUGGGGAGCAAACAGG
rnacentral:rRNA from 1 species